AGAAACUUAGGAUAGUUAAUAGUCCAAGGGCCUUCAAAGCCCUCAGCAGGAGUUCAAACCUCCUAGUUUCUG
rnacentral:tRNA from 2 species